AAUGGUUGACCUCGGA
rnacentral:rRNA from 1 species